AUUGAACGCUGGCGGCAGGCCUAACACAUGCAAGUCGAGCGAGGGGCGGACGGGUGAGUAAGGGCUGGGAAAGUGCCAGAUGGAGGGGGAGAACUGCUGGAAACGGUAGCUAAUAACGCGUGAGAUCGGAUGUGCACAGAUGGGGUUAGAUAGUAGGUGGGGUAACGGCUCACCUAGGCGACGAUCCCUAGCUGGUCUUAGAGGAUGACCAGCCACACUGGAACUGAGACACGGUCCAGACUCCUACGGGAGGCAGCAGUGGUGAAUAUUGCACAAUGGGCGCAAGCCUGAUGCAGCCAUGCCGCUUUUAUCAAGAAGGCCUCCGGUUUGUAAAGUACUUUCAGCGGGGAGGCGUUACCCGCAGAAGAAGCACCGGCUAACUCCGUGCCAGCAGCCGCGGUAAUUC
rnacentral:rRNA from 1 species